rnacentral:rRNA from 1 species
GUAGGUGGCAAGCGUUGUCCGGGAAUUAUUGGGGCGUAAAGCGCGCGCAGGCGGUUCUUUAAGUCUGAUGUGAAAGCCCACGGGCUCAACCGUGGAGGGUCAUUGGAAACUGGAGAACUUGAGUACAGAAGAGGAAAGCGGAAUUCCACGUGUAGCGGUGAAAUGCGUAGAGAUGUGGAGGAACACCAGUGGCGAAGGCGGCUUUCUGGUCUGUAACUGACGCUGAGGCGCGAAAGCGUGGGGAGCAAACAGGAUUAGAUACCCUGGUAGUCCACGCCGUAAACGAUGAGUGCUAAGUGUUAGGGGGGUUUCCGCCCCUUAGUGCUGCAGCUAGCGCAUUAAGCACUCCGCCUGGGGAGUACGGCCGCAAAGGCUG